GACGAACGCUGGCGGCGUGCCUAAUACAUGCAAGUCGAGCGAAGUUUUUCUGGUGCUUGCACUAGAAAAACUUAGCGGCGAACGGGUGAGUAACACGUAAAGAACCUGCCUCAUAGACUGGGACAACUAUUGGAAACGAUAGCUAAUACCGGAUAACAGCAUUAACUGCAUGGUUGAUGUUUAAAAGUUGGUUUUGCUAACACUAUGAGAUGGCUUUGCGGUGCAUUAGCUAGUUGGUGGGGUAAAGGCCUACCAAGGCGACGAUGCAUAGCCGACCUGGGAGGGUGAUCGGCCACACUGGGACUGAGACACGGCCCAGACUCCUACGGGAGGCAGCAGUAGGGAAUCUUCCGCAAUGGGCGAAAGCCUGACGGAGCAACGCCGCGUGAGUGAAGAAGGAUUUCGGUUCGUAAAGCCCUGUUGUUAGGGAAGAAUGAUUGUGUAGUAACUAUACACAGUAGAGACGGUACCUAACCAGAAAGCCACGGCUAACUACGUG
rnacentral:rRNA from 1 species